rnacentral:tRNA from 2 species
GCGGGGGUGGCGGAACAGGCAGACGCGCCAGAUUUAGGAUCUGGUGGGUAAAACCCGUGCGGGUUCAAGUCCCGCCUCCCGCA